UCCGUAGGUGGAUAAUUAAGUCAGAGGUGAAAUCCCACAGCUUAACUGUGGAACUGCCUUUGAUACUGGUUGUCUUGAAUUAUAGUGAAGUAGAUAGAAUGUGUAGUGUAGCGGUGAAAUGCUUAGAUAUUACACAGAAUACCGAUUGCGAAGGCAGUUUACUAACUAUAUAUUGACGCUAAUGGACGAAAGCGUGGGGAGCGAACAGGAUUAGAUACCCUGGUAGUC
rnacentral:rRNA from 1 species